UACGUAGGGGGCAAGCGUUGUCCGGAAUCAUUGGGCGUAAAGCGCGUGUAGGCGGUUCAGUAAGUCUGCUGUGAAAGUCCAGGGCUCAACCCUGGGAUGCCGGUGGAUACUGCUGGACUAGAGUGCGGAAGAGGCGAGUGGAAUUCCCGGUGUAGCGGUGAAAUGCGCAGAUAUCGGGAGGAACACCAAUUGCGAAGGCAGCUCGCUGGGACGUUACUGACGCUGAGACGCGAAAGCGUGGGGAGCGAACAGG
rnacentral:rRNA from 1 species